AGGGCACCACCAGGAGUGGAGCCUGCGGCUUAAUUUGACUCAACACGGGAAAACUUACCCGGCCCGGACACUGGAAGGAUUGACAGAUUGAGAGCUCUUUCUUGAUUCAGUGGGUGGUGGUGCGUGGCCGUUCUUAGUUGGUGGAGCGAUUUGUCUGGUUAAUUCCGAUAACGAACGAGACUCUAGCCUACUAAAUAGACCAGAGGCUUCUUAAAACACGUCUCUGGCUGCUUCUUAGAGGGACAGGCGGCGAUUCAGCCGCACGAAACAGAGCAAUAACAGGUCUGUGAUGCCCUUAGAUGUCCGGGGCCGCACGCGCGCUACACUGAAGUGAUCAGCGUGCUUUUUGUACCCUGCUCUGCCAAGAGUGGGUAACCCAAUGAACCUUCUUCGUGAUUGGGAUAGGGGAUUGUAAUUAUUCCCCUUGAACGAGGAAUUCCCAGUAAGCGCGAGUCAUAAGCUCGCGUUGAUUACGUCCCUGCCCUUUGUACACACCGCCCGUCGCUACUACCGAUUGAA
rnacentral:rRNA from 1 species